rnacentral:rRNA from 1 species
GACGAACCGUGCGAACGUUGUUCGGAAUCACUGGGCUUAAAGGGCGCGUAGGCGGGCUAUCAAGUCCGGGGUGAAAUCCUCCAGCUUAACUGGAGAACGGCCUCGGAUACUGAUGGUCUCGAGGAGGAUAGGGGCACACGGAACUGUGGGUGGAGCGGUGAAAUGCGUUGAUAUCCAUAGGAACUCCGGUGGCGAAAGCGGUGUGCUGGAUCCUUUCUGACGCUCAUGUGCGAAAGCUAGGGGAGCGAACGGG